GAGGUGGGAGGAUCACCUGAGCCCUGGAUGUUGAGGCUGCAGUGAGCCAAGAUCAUACCACUGCACUCCAGCCUGAGUGACAGAGUAAGACCUUGUCUC
rnacentral:miRNA from 1 species